rnacentral:lncRNA from 1 species
GUGUAAAUAAAUCCUUAAAAUUAAUCUCUAUUUAGAACAUAUAAUUCUUUCAAAACACUUUGAACUGUAUUCCAAAGAUAUUAGCUACCCACCUUUCUUUAGAUAUCAGGCAGACUUUUUUUUUUUUUCCUGAAAUGUAUGUUGAAUAGAUUUAGACUGAAAUCCAAAUAAAUGCCUAGGAUUAUAUGGUCCUUCCUAAAUGUGAUAAUAUUCUUUCCCUAAACUCCAU